UACGGAGGGUGCGAGCGUUGUCCGGAAUCACUGGGCGUAAAGGGCACGUAGGCGGCGCGGGGAGUCAACGGUGAAAGCUCGGCGCUCAACGCCGAGUCGGCCGUCGAUACUCCCGUGCUUGAGCACUGUAGAGGCAGGUGGAAUUCCGGGUGUAGCGGUGGAAUGCGUAGAGAUCCGGAGGAACACCAAAGGCGAAGGCAGUGUCCUGGGGAGUACCUGACGCUCAGGUGCGAAAGCCAGGGGAGCGAACGGG
rnacentral:rRNA from 1 species